AUAUUAUUAAGCGGAGGAAAAGAAACUAACCAGGAUUCCUUUAGUAACGGCGAGUGAACAAGGAACAGCCCAUCACCGAAUCCUUCUCGGUAAACGGGAAAGGAAUUGUGGUGUAAAGGACAGGUUUCGUGGCAUGGUUGUCGGCCCAAGUUCUCUUGAAUGGGGCUCCCCGAGCGGGUGUCAGGCCUCUAGCGACCGAUCGACUUUGUCACUUUUCUUGUCCCGAGAGUCGGGUUGCUUGAGAUCGCAGCCCUAAGACGGGUGGUAUACUCCAUCCAAGGCUAAAUACCGUCGCGAGACCGAUAGCGCACAAGUA
rnacentral:rRNA from 1 species